rnacentral:rRNA from 1 species
UGGGUUUGACAUCCCAAGAACUCUGUGGAAACAUAGAGGUGCCUCGCAAGAGGAGCUUGGAGAC